rfam:Schistosoma margrebowiei strain Zambia genome assembly, scaffold: SMRZ_scaffold0000296
AUCCGACUGACGAGUUCCAAAUAGAAUGGAACUUGAGUCCCGGAU